GCCUGGCUAGCUCAAUCGGUAGAGCAUUUGACUCUUAGGUUUAGGUAAUCAAAAGGUUGCGGGUUCGAGCCCCGCGUCGGGCU
rnacentral:tRNA from 1 species